rnacentral:lncRNA from 1 species
AGAUGAGUUUGCUCCACUUGAGGAUACAGAGCACCCCGGCAGCAGUGAGUGAGUUCUUGUGAGAUCUGGUUGCUUAAAAGUGUGUGGCACCCCCUCAACUCUGCUGCUUCUGCUUUCAUCAUGUGAAGUGCCUGCUCCCCCUUUGCCUUCUGACAUGUUUGUAAGUUUCCUGAGGCCUUUCCAGGAGCCAAGCAGAUGCCAGCAUCAUGCUUCCUGUACAGCCUGAAGAACCGUGAGCUAAUUAAACGUCUUUUUUGUUUGUUUGUUCAUUUGUUUUUGUGGCUGGAGUGCAGGGUGCGAUCUUGGCUCACUGCAACCUCCACCUCCUGGGUUCAAGUGAUUCUCUUCCCUCAGCCUCCCAAGUAGCUGGGACUACAGGCCCCACUACCAUGCCUGGCUAAUGUUUUGUAUGUUUAGUAGAGAUGGGGUUUCACCAUGUUGGCCAGGCUGGUUUCGAUCUCCUGACCUCAAGUGAUUCACCUGCCUCAGCUUCCCAAAGUGCUAGGAUUACAGGUGUGAGCCACCAUGCCCAGCCUAAACUUCUUUUCUUUAUAAAUGACUCAGUCUCAGGUGUUUCUUUAUAACCAUGUGAGAAUGGACUAAUACAAUGGGCAAAACUAAAAGGAAAUGAACAUACUUCAUAAUACCAUGUCAUAUAUGGUAACAAUAGAUUUAUAGAUAUACAUACAGAUAGAUAUAUAGAUAUAGAUAUAUGGCAUCCAAACAUCUCAGAAAAGUGGGUAUGAGUUACUUCAGGGGAGAGGAGAGUACAUUGAUACAAUGCCUGAGCUGGGUUUUGACAGAUGAGUAGGAAUUUCCUAGGCAGACAAAGGAGAGGAGAAUGGCAUUCCAGGCAGAGGGCAUACCAGGUGCAAAGGCAUAGAAAGGUGAACCAGCAUGAUGCAUUUGAAGAGCUACAAGUCAUUUGGGGUCAUUGCUAAGGUAUAAAGUAAAAAGGGAGAUAUGGAGGCACCAAGAGAAAAGUAGCAGGGCCAAGAUGGUGGAAGAUUUCACCUGGAUUUUAUGCCUCAAGCCACAGGGGAUCAGUGGACCAGUGCUGGAGUUUAAAUAGAAGAAUGAGGCAUCAACUUCCGCCAUGUAAUAAGCAACCUCAAUGUCAGUGGCUUAAAGCAACAAUCAGCAUUUAUGGCUUAUGCAUCUGGGGUUGGCUGGGGCUUAGCUGAUUUGGGCUGGGCCUUGCUGAAGUGACUUGGCUCUUCUCCAUAUAUGUCUUGUCUUCCUCCUGGAACUGCUGGGCCAGCCUGGGCAUGUCUUGCUCAUGGCAAUGACAGAGGCACAAGAGCACGGAAAGAAACAUGCAAGGUGUCUUGAGGCCUGGGCUCAGAACUGGCACGUUGUCACUUCCACCUCAUUCUGUCCACCAAACAAAGUCACAUGACCCAGUCUAGAUUCAAGAGGAGGGGAACCAGUGAGAGCUCCUGCCAAGUCAUAUGACAAAGUUCAUGGCUAUACGGAGGACUGGAGAGUCAGGUCCAUCCAUGCACUCUACCACAAGCCAUGUGAUCAGGUCUCUGCAUUAGGUCACUAGGUAGCUAUGUGGAGGGUGGAUUACAGGGGAUAAGGCAGUUUCAGAGAUUCAGGCAGGAACUGAACAAAUGCCCUAGGAUCUCACAACCUGCUCUUUCUAUCUAUUCUAUGUACUGGGAUUUAGCCAGAUUACACAAAAGGAAAGCUUAUCUUUGGCCUUUUGUUCAAUUCUAAGAACUCAGCCUGAGCACUUUGGUGCUUGCACCAGUGCAUAAGAAGGCUUUGAAAUAAACAGAUAUUCAAUAAACUAGUGAACAAGAGUUUUCUUUAUCUUGGAAUAGACAUCUCUGAGACAAAAACGGACCUGAGCUGCAAUAUUGGAUAAGCCCCACUGAUCACAAGAAAACCUAACAUAGGUAAUUGACUAUUGGCAAAUGCAACAGAACCAAAUAAAGCAAAUAAUUAACAAUUAUUGUACUCAGAGGUAAAGGAACUACAAAUCUAGGCUGCCUCGGCAUUUGUCCUAGGCAUCAAUAAGAACAAAGUGUUUGUUAGUGGGUGAGUAACCCAGGUGUGAAAUUCAUUUUAUUAGACCAGAUCUAAAAAUAGGCUUGAACCAGAGAGUGGAAAAGAACACAAUUUAUCCCCACUUGCUCACUGGGGCACCCAGGGAAUAAAUUAAAGGCGCUGUUUUUUGUUUACAAAGGGGGAAUUGUGGUAGAUUGUUUGCAGAAAUGACCACAGUUACUUCCCUUUCUGUGUCUCUGCUACUUUGCAGAUGUGACUUUGUAACUCUUCCUAUCAAAAGUGGUGUCCUCAAGUCUUGAGUCUGUGACUAGUUUUGGCCAAUAGAAUGUGGCAGAGGUGACACUGUACUAGUUCCAAGCCCAAGCCUCAAGAGGCCUUGCACACCGCCACCUGCUUUCUUGGGACCCUUGUCUUCAUGAUGUGAACAAACCCAGGCUAAGCUGCCAGCGGAUGAGAGUUCAUGAGUCAGGCCAGUUGUCCCAGCCAAGACCUUAAACAUACACAAGAGCUCAGCCCAAACUAGCAAAACCAAACUGCAGCUGCCCCACAUCUAGCUACAAAAGCAAGAGGAAUUCUAGCUGAGUUCAGAAAACCUGCCAGCUGAGCCCAGCCUAAACAGCCAACCUACAGAAUCUUGAAGUAAAUACAUGGUUGUUAUUUUAAGCUACUAAGUUUUAGAGUGAUUUGUUACACAGCAAAAGGUAACUGAUAUCGGAGUAUUCUGGAUCAGGCCAGGUGCAUUGGCUCACACCUAUA